GACUGUAAUAGAUUUAUUUCUAGUUCCAUGGAUACAUAUCACUAGACUUUUAAAAAAUCAUUUAAAUUUUCCUUUUAAAAAGUUUUGAGAUAUAAAUGACAUACAGGCUGAAGUGCAAGUGCAGUGGUGUGAACACAGCUGACUGCAGCCUCAACCUCCUGGGCUCAAACAAUCCUCCUGCCUCAGCCUCCCAAG
ensembl:lncRNA ALG13-AS1 ALG13 antisense RNA 1